CAUCAAUACUCUUCCUAUCCUGCUUCUUCAAGGUCCAGCUUUUGCUUCCAUAGAGUGUCACAGGGAAUACCAUUGCUUACACUCUUCUGAUAUUUGCAGCAGAUGCUCAGCAUGUCUUGGCUGUUCCAUUACAGUAGGCUCUGACAAUGAGCAUCAACUUGUCCCUCAGUAAAGAGAAUGCCUCGGAAAACCUCGCACGGCUGGAAGAGGGAGCAGGCAGAAUCACUGAGUCAAUUGCUAUCAUCGUUAUUGCUAUUUUCAUCUGUUUAGGAAAUCUGGUGAUCGUCCUCACUCUUUAUAAGAAGUCAUACCUGCUCACCUUAAGCAACAAGUUUGUUUUCAGCCUGACCCUGUCCAACUUCCUUCUUUCGGUGCUGGUGCUUCCUUUCGUUGUUACCAGCUCCAUCCGGCGGGAAUGGAUCUUUGGAGUAGUUUGGUGCAACUUCUCUGCCCUGCUCUACAUGCUCAUCAGCUCUGCCAGUAUGCUUACGCUUGGACUCAUUGCUAUCGACCGGUACUAUGCUGUCUUGUACCCAAUGGUUUACCCUAUGAAGAUUACGGGUAACAGAGCUGUUGUUGCCAUUGUGUACGUGUGGCUUCAUUCUCUAAUUGGAUGCCUUCCACCCCUCUUUGGUUGGUCAUCCUUAGAAUUUGAUCAGUUCAAAUGGAUGUGUGUAGCUGCGUGGCAUAAGCAGGCAGGUUACACCGCCUUUUGGCAAAUAUGGUGUGCUUUGCUACCAUUUGUAGUCAUGAUGAUUUGCUAUGGUUUCAUAUUCCGUGUGGCCAGGAUUAAGGCACGGAAGAUUCACUGUGGGAGCGUGGUCAUUGCAGAGGAAGAUACGCAAAGGAAUGGGAGAAAAAACUCGAGUACGUCAACAUCCUCAUCAGGCAGCCGAAGAAAUGCUUUUCAAGGGGUUGUUUAUUCUGCCAAUCAAUGCAAAGCUUUGAUCACAAUUGUAGUUGUGAUUGGGGCUUUUGUCAUCACAUGGGGGCCUUACAUGGUGGUUAUCACAUCUGAGGCACUUUGGGGGAAAAACAGCAUUUCCCCUGCUUUUGAGACAUUAGCAACUUGGUUAUCUUUUACAAGUGCUAUUUGCCAUCCUUUGAUUUAUGGACUCUGGAAUAAAACUGUACGCAAGGAGUUACUGGGAAUGUGCUUUGGAGAUCGGUACUACAGAGAAUCGUUUGUUCAAAGGCAAAGGACAUCCAGAUUAUUUAGUAUUUCUAAUAGGAUCACAGAUCUAGGAUUAUCUCCACACCUGACAGCUCUCAUGGCAGGGGAACGGACUUUAGGACACAGCAGCAGCACAGGAGAUACAGGUUUCAGUUGCUCUCAGGAUUCAGGGACAGAUGUUAUGCUGCUUGAAGAUUAUAGUUCUGAUGGAGUUCAUCACCCACAUUGUGCUUACCCUCAUCGACGGAGUUCUGUAACUUUUGAAGAUGAAGUGGAACAAGUUAAAGAAGCAGCAAAGAACUCUAUCCUUCACAUAAAGGCUGAAGUUCACAAAUCUCUGGAUAGUUACGCAUCCAGCUUGGCCAAAGCUAUUGAAGCCGAUGUGAGGAUCACCUUGUUUGGAGGAGAUGCCCUACCUGGCUCUUUGUUCCCAGCACGAACUGUGGCAGGCAGCAAUGCAAGCACACGGCGUGGUGGCAGGGUCCACCUUAGCCAAAAAGUACAGCUACAGAGCAUUGAAGAAGGAAACGCUUAAAAUUGCUUCAAUAAAACAAACAGGAAAAAAAAAACUUUAAAACUGAUGCAAAGCCAUGAUUCUUUGCAAGGAAAGCAAAACAGGCCCCAGCAUUUUAAUCAAAGAUUUAAAAAUUCCCGGAGACUCAUCUUAAUACAGUAUUAGAAAACGGACUAACUCAAAACAAUUGGGAAACCAAAAGUAUAAAAGGAUUCACUGAUAUCUAAAUAAUAAAGCACAAGUUACUUACCUGUUUCUGUGGCAUACAGCAGCCUUUCCCAAGUUGGGCACUAUCCGGAUGUCUGGACUUCAGCUGCCAGUUCUUCAGCCAGCAUGACCGUGACUGAGAAUUCUAAAAGUUGAAGCUGUACAUAACAGGAACACUCAGGGCUGCAGAAAGUCCAGCUUAACAAACAAACAAGGAACAGUUAGCUGCCACAGCUAAUACUGCUCAGGAGAUCAUUCUUUAUAAACACUGCAAUAGGUACCAUUUAAAAACUUAUUUCUCAGUUGUUUAACUGACAGUGAUCAGCAAAUGUUUUAAUCUUUUAAGAGAUAUAUAUUAUGGUUGAAAUACAAUUUAUACUAAUCAGCUUAUGAAAAGGCAAUGACUGCAAAAAAAAAUUUCUACCUUAGCUUUAUAAUGUUACAACACUAUCUCAUUAUUGUGAUAUUUUACAGCACAUGCAUGUACACAUAUGUAUAUGGAUUUUAAAAAAAACAUCAAGACGUGUUUUUUAAAAAAUAGAGUGAUAAAGUGGCAUCCCCUGCAGAAGUCACAAUGAAAAUAUGCUGAGUUUUAAAUGGUCAAAUAGAUGACAUGUUUUCUUCCCACAAAAAUUGAAAGAACAGUGGGAUGAACAUACAGUAAGUGUAACAUUCUUGAUAGUGUGGAAAUUCAGCUGCAAUUUCACUUGCAACUUGCAGAGGAAAUGCAAUGUUUGGGUAGCAUUAGGAACCGUAUUUGGAAUAUCUUGGUAUACUGAUUGAGGAAGCAGAAAAGGGAGUAAUUUGUAUGGGUAAUUAGUCUUAAUUCCUUACUUGGUAUAUGAGGAAAAUCAAAUUUCUUAUUUGUAUGUGUACAUACACAUUUUUAUGGUUCUUUUAAUGCAUUCAACUGAGCACCACACUUAAUGGCUAAUGUAACUAACUAAGCUAACUCUAGCUAAUGUAAAAAUGUGGAUUUCAGAAUAAGUUGUGCAUCAAGUUUUCAUGUACCAAAGAUAAAUAGCACAAACUGAAAGUCUGAAGCUAACAUUUUGUAAGACCUGAUGUAAUAUGCAGUAUCUGUGAUACAAAUUUUCUGUUGGAACAACUUCAUUAAUCUAGUGCCCUCCAAACAUGUUGGAUUGCAGCUUCCACAGUUUUGUUGGUCCUUGCUGUAUAACAACUAUAGAAAUUAUACUAUAGACCCACACUUCCAGUGGUCACCAGAUUGGAAAACUCAAUUCUGUGGUCUUGGACCAUUUCUGUGGGGAAUCACUUGAACUCCGUUCUUCCUUCUUUCAGCAGUUACCUUCUUUGGGGUUCACGAAAAGGAUGAGUUUUAUAUUCCACAAGCAAAUAUAUAACACUCUGUCUCAGUGCAGUUAUUGUAACUCAGAUUAGUGGUGAACAGCAUUCCCAGAAAGAGGAUAGAUUUGCCACUCUGGUUAAGCAGAUUUCAGUUCCAUGUACGGUGACAGAGCUAUAAUUGAAGAAAUUAAAUUUUGCACAACCCUUUUCUCUAGCUGUCUACCGUCAUCAUGUUUACAACACUGGAAGUGUGCUAAAUUCUGUGUUUAAAAUGGAGUCUGUAAUAUAGAGUAGUUCUUAAUUUUGUUAAAAAUAUUUAAACACAUAUUAUCUGCAUUUCUACAGAAAAGGUGAUACUUUUAAUACUUUUCCUUAGCUGUAAACUGAAUGAAAGCUGCUAUGGCUGACACUCAAAUAAAGCAACAUAAAUGUAUCGUAGAAUAACAUUUUAUGAAAUUCUAACCUCACUUGCCAGUGAACUGGCACCUUAGAAUAUUGUUGUAAACUACCUUGAGUGCUUAUACAAGCAGAAAUGUGGGCUAUAAAUUCAAUAAUAAAGAUACAAACAUAUUCAU